UCCUACGGGGGGCAGCAGUGGGGGAUAUUGCACAAUGGGGGAAACCCUGAUGCAGCGACGCCGCGUGGGUGAAGAAGCGCCUCGGCGCGUAAAGCCCUGUCAGCAGGGAAGAAAAUGACGGUACCUGAAGAAGAAGCCGCGGCUAACUACGUGCCGGCAGCCGCGGUAAUACGUAGGGGGCAAGCGUUAUCCGGAUUUACUGGGUGUAAAGGGGGCGCAGACGGCGAUGCAAGCCAGGAGUGAAAGCCCGGGUCCCAACCCCGGGCCUGCUCUUGGAACUGCGUGGCUAGAGUGCAGGUGGGGCA
rnacentral:rRNA from 1 species